GUGUCAGCAGCCGCGGUAAUACGUAGGGGCCGAGCGUUGUCCGGAAUUAUUGGGCGUAAAGCGCGUGUAGGCGGCUUGGUAGGUCUCGCGUUAAAGCCCGCAGCUCAACUGCGGAAUCGCGCGGGAAACCACCUCGCUAGAGUCCGGAAGAGGAGUGUGGAAUUCCUGGUGUAGCGGUGAAAUGCGCAGAUAUCAGGAAGAACACCAGUGGCGAAGGCGGCACUCUGGGACGGUACUGACGCUGAGACGCGAAAGCGUGGGGAGCGAACAGGAUUAGAUACCCGAGUAGUCC
rnacentral:rRNA from 1 species